AGUCUAGCCGUGACGUCACGCGUCGUAUCCCGUGCGCUCCCCUGAGCGCGUGGUCCUGGUCGCGAGCACAUGGAAGUGAGGUCGAGAUUUGUGUCUGUGAGACGCGCGACUGAUCAUCAGAAAAAAAGGAAUAUAAAAGCGAUAAAACGGCAACAAAUACUAAAGUUGAAGCGGUCUGGUGUAGAGGCUCAUUGACGGUUGUUUGGCUGGAUGCAAUUGUUCGAUCCUCCAUCUCAAUGAUUCAAGUGGGCUGUUAAGAAAGUGUGAAGGCUGCCGACCUCCAAACGAAUCUGGCAGCAGGCACGUCUGCGACUGUCACACGGCGUGUUUAGGUGUCACAGGACAUCCUCUGACACCUGGUGUACAUGCAGCUCGGCCCUCCUUCAGACAGCCUUGGGGUUGUCACUCAGGAUCUCCAGUUGUCUGUGUGGAUGUAAGAAGGCAGGCGGUAAAGAGUUGAGGAAGUCUGCAAGAUAACCCAUAAUACACCAGUCAGAGUUAUGCAUCGUCUCGCGACAGGAAAGAUGCAUUAAGAGCUCAGCCUUCGUUCCUUUCCACUUGGAUCUGAUGGGGAGCCUUGAACACACUGAUCCCGCUCCCUUUUGAUGUGCUGACUGUCUGUCCCGGGGGUGGUUUUGAUUGCCUCUUUACUCCCCUCCUAUGCUGGGUGGUUGUUGCAGACCCUCCUGCAGUCCCACGUCUUACUGCAGCUGUCGUGCUUAUAGACUACUGAAGAUACUGAUCUGAAUGGGAAGGAUGCAAAGGUGGAAGCAGUCAGUGAUGGAUUUGGUUUCACUCUCUCAAUGGAACACACACACACAUACUGACAUACUGCAUGGUUUUUAAUACUACCUACUUCCCCCUUUCUUUGAGAGGACACAGAUACACCCUGCAUGGGCCCCCGUGGUGAUCUACAUUGUGGUUGGGAAGUACCUAGUUUUACAACUGCCAUGCUGGUCUGCUUGAAGGGACAAUGCUGAUCACUUUCAUGUCCACUACGUUCAGCACUUUUCACUUACCUGUAUUGUUUGAUGUUGUCACAGUAAUAGCGAGUGAGCAAUUUGUCUGUGCAGAGUUUCUGUAUUACACACUGCCGUUGGAGAAGUCUACUCAAAUGUUCUCAUCUUGAUGAAUCUGUUAUUGCUGGGAUCAUGAGAGUACUGAGCCAGAAUACAGAAUGUGUGAUAUAGUGAAAAUGAAGUCUAACCACAAUGAGGUGAAAGAGUUUUUGCAAUAGUUAAUUAAAAGAAAACCACAUUUCUGUCUUCCACAUAUGUCUUUUCUGUCACUUUACACUGUUGUAUGUUUGUGAAAAAGCUGCACACUGAAUAAAUCUUUCACGCUG